GAUGAACGCUGGCGGCGUGCCUAAUACAUGCAAGUCGAGCGAACGGACGAGAAGCUUGCUUCUCUGAUGUUAGCGGCGGACGGGUGAGUAACACGUGGAUAACCUACCUAUAAGACUGGGAUAACUUCGGGAAACCGGAGCUAAUACCGGAUAAUAUUUUGAACCGCAUGGUUCAAAAGUGAAAGACGGUCUUGCUGUCACUUAUAGAUGGAUCCGCGCUGCAUUAGCUAGUUGGUAAGGUAACGGCUUACCAAGGCAACGAUGCAUAGCCGACCUGAGAGGGUGAUCGGCCACACUGGAACUGAGACACGGUCCAGACUCCUACGGGAGGCAGCAGUAGGGAAUCUUCCGCAAUGGGCGAAAGCCUGACGGAGCAACGCCGCGUGAGUGAUGAAGGUCUUCGGAUCGUAAAACUCUGUUAUUAGGGAAGAACAUAUGUGUAAGUAACUGUGCACAUCUUGACGGUACCUAAUCAGAAAGCCACGGCUAACUACGUGCCAGCAGCCGCGGUAAUACGUAGGUGGCAAGCGUUAUCCGGAAUUAUUGGGCGUAAAGCGCGCGUAGCGGUUUUUUAGUCUGAUGUGAAAGCCCACGGCUCAACCGUGGAGGGUCAUUGGAAACUGGAAAACUUGAGUGCAGAAGAGGAAAGUGGAAUUCCAUAUGUAGCGGUGAAAUGCGCAGAGAUAUGGAGGAACACCAGUGGCGAAGGCGACUUUCUGGUCUGUAACUGACGCUGAUGUGCGAAAGCGUGGGGAUCAAACAGGAUUAGAUACCCUGGUAGUCCACGCCGUAAACGAUGAGUGCUAAGUGUUAGGGGGUUUCCGCCCCUUAGUGCUGCAGCUAACGCAUUAAGCACUCCGCCUGGGGAGUACGACCGCAAGGUUGAAACUCAAAGGAAUUGACGGGGACCCGCACAAGCGGUGGAGCAUGUGGUUUAAUUCGAAGCAACGCGAAGAACCUUACCAAAUCUUGACAUCCUUUGACAACUCUAGAGAUAGAGCCUUCCCCUUCGAGGGACAAAGUGACAGGUGGUGCAUGGUUGUCGUCAGCUCGUGUCGUGAGAUGUUGGGUUAAGUCCCGCAACGAGCGCAACCCUUAAGCUUAGUUGCCAUCAUUAAGUUGGGCACUCUAAGUUGACUGCCGGUGACAAACCGGAGGAAGGUGGGGAUGACGUCAAAUCAUCAUGCCCCUUAUGAUUUGGGCUACACACGUGCUACAAUGGACAAUACAAAGGGCAGCGAAACCGCGAGGUCAAGCAAAUCCCAUAAAGUUGUUCUCAGUUCGGAUUGUAGUCUGCAACUCGACUACAUGAAGCUGGAAUCGCUAGUAAUCGUAGAUCAGCAUGCUACGGUGAAUACGUUCCCGGGUCU
rnacentral:rRNA from 1 species